rnacentral:rRNA from 1 species
AACGAACGCUGGCGGCGCGCCUAAUACAUGCAAGUCGAGCGAGAAGACGUAGCAAUACGUUUGUAAAGCGGCGAACGGGUGAGGAAUACAUGGGUAACCUACCCUCGAGUGGGGAAUAACUAGCCGAAAGGUUAGCUAAUACCGCGUACGCUCCUUGGACUUCGGUUCAGGGAGGAAAGCGAUACCGUGGGUAUCGCGCUCUUGGAUGGGCUCAUGUCCUAUCAGCUUGUUGGUGAGGAACGGCUCACCAAGGCUUCGACGGGUAGCUGGUCUGAGAGGACGAUCAGCCACACUGGCACUGCGACACGGGCCAGACUCCUACGGGAGGCAGCAGUAAGGAAUAUUGCGCAAUGGGCGAAAGCCUGACGCAGCGACGCCGCGUGGGGGAUGAAGGUCUUCGGAUUGUAAACCCCUUUCGGGAGGGAAGAUGGACGAGCAAUCGUUCGGACGGUACCUCCAGAAGCAGCCACGGCUAACUUCGUGCCAGCACGCCG